GAACCCUGGUGCUGCCUCCAUGUUGCUUUUAGUCGCACCAAAUGCAGUCCAAAGUGCUCAGAAAGAAAAGAAAGCAACCUGACCUGCUCUGCGUUCUCUCUUCACCACUGACAGGAAGACAGCAGCAGAACGUGCACAAGUUCGAGGAGGAAGAGAGAGCAAAGCGAGGCUUUGAGGUCAGGUCGGAUUGUGACAAACAUCCGUCAGCAGGCGCAGAAGAAGAAAAAAAAACUCGACCUCAGAAUGUUUCCAUCAACAUGGAUGGAAAAAAACCUGCAGCUGAAGAAAUGGAUGCAGAAAAAGAAUAAAUUCGUGCAUGAUAAAAUCACCAGAAUGCAGGAAAUGAAGAGUUUCAGACUCAGAAGUUGCACAGAUUGCUGAACUCCCAUGAUUGAAGUGGACAAUUCAAGGACUAGCAUGAGUUCAACCUGCCACCACAGGCCAAGUAUUAAACAAACUGGAGAACAAUGAAGGAAGGUGUGUAAAUGUAUUUAUUGUCCACAGUGCAUAUCAUAAAAUCACAAUCCUAUUCAUCCGAUUGGGGUCUAAUCAUUAAUAUCAUUAAUACUGAUUGCACAUGAGCACAAUGAACCAAGGGUGAAAAUCACUGCACUCUUAAAACAUCACUGCAUAUCAGAUAGCACUGCAAUCAGUGCACUCCUGCCUGUAACCAUCACAUGUAAGUCGGAUCUCAGUGCUACUGGAAAUUAAGACUGAUAAUUACUUACCUCAGAUCACAACAGGGAACUGAAUAAAAUAAACACAAUAAUUAACAAAAAUAGUAAAAGUGAGUUUGCCACCACAUGAUGUGCUCCCAGGUCUUUACAUCCAAGGACUCUGCAAGGCCAAGCGGACGAACAAAAGCGAACAAAACCCACAAGCAAAAACCAAAAAGGACAGCAGGAGAGAGUGAUGAACAGUAGCUGCUACGCCAGCCUCUCACACAGCAGGAAAUCUCUCGCCUCAUGAAACUCUGUGGCCGCACACAAAUCACAGCUGAAGCCUCGUGUCUCUCUGGACUCAUGCAGAAAAUCGUCAGCGCCUCCCUACUCACCAAACUCAUUUUAUUGUUGCUUCCCUCAAUCAGAGGCAGACAGUGGAGGACCACCAGCUGUAAUGGUUACACUCGGGUUAAACAUUUGACAGAACCAGUGACAGGUGGAUCUGACUGAUAACUUGAGGACACUGAACACAGUGAUUCAGCAGUGACCUGUCAAUCACAAGGUAGCCCCGCCCUAAAACAUAUCCCACUUUGUCCUCUAUUUUACUCUAAAUAGAACCAUAAUUUACUAAAUGAACAUCAUUCUGUACUGAAGAAGGCUUUAAACUAGUGAUUAGGACCAUGAACUCUUUAGGAAAAUGCUUAUAGAGGUAAUAAAUCAAGUGAGAAGGAGGCUCAUUUUCUCAUUGGGUUCUAUACAACCAGACAUCUUUUAGAAAUCAGGGAAGUCGUCAUCUGCUGGCUGUUAGAAACAAUGUAGCUUUAAGUCCUCUCUGCACUUCUGUCACUUUUCAGAUUGAAAGCUAUGUCCAUUUUUAUCUGUGUUUCAUUAUAUUUUAAAUUGUUUCUGUUUCAUUUGCAGAAAUAAAGACAACUACCCUAUGAACAGAUGAUACUAAUUGGUACACCAGAAUUCUUGGUAGAGGAUCUUCUCACUUUCUGCUUAACGCUUAAGACUGAAGUCGAGAAAUAGAUGCAGAAUUAGUCCAAGAGCUGACCUUUGAGUGUCGCUACAUGUGUGCCCAGUAAAUCAAAUAAUAGGAUCAUUGUUAUUAAAGUUCUCCCUUCACAAACCCCAAAAACAGAACCAAAGGAACAAAUAACAAAUGACAUACAAAGCAAUUUCUUCUUAUUAGUAGUUUUUAAUCAUAUAAUUUUAUUUAUUAGAAGACAUUUUGCCCUUUAGUGUUUAGAUUGGAUUGUAUUAUCAUUAUUUUCAUAUUCAUGUUCAGUUUUAUGUUGUUAAUCAUCAUAUUGCAAAAAAUAAUGAUCUUCCAUUUUCAC